CCUACGGGCGGCAGCAGUGGGGGAUAUUGCACAAUGGGGGAAACCCUGAUGCAGCGACGCCGCGUGAGUGAAGAAGUAUUUCGGUAUGUAAAGCUCUAUCAGCAGGGAAGAAACUGACAGUACCUGACCAAGAAGCCCCCGCUAACCACGUGCCAGCAGCCGCGGUAAUACGUAGGGGGCCAGCGUUAUCCGGAUUUACUGGGUGUAAAGGGAGCGUAGACGGCUAUGGAAGGCUGGAGUGAAAGCCCGGGGCCCAACCCCGGGACUGCGUUGGAAACUGUAUAACUGGAGUGCAGGAGGGGGAAGCGGAAUUCCUGGUGUAGCGGUGAAAUGCGUAGAUAUCAGGAGGAACACCGGCGGCGAAGGCGGCCUACUGGACUGAAACUGACGUUGAGGCUCGAAAGCGUGGGGAGCAAACAGGAUUAGAUACCCGAGUAGUC
rnacentral:rRNA from 1 species